UACGUAGGGUGCGAGCGUUAAUCGGAAUUACUGGGCGUAAAGCGUGCGUAGGCGGUUCGUUAAGUCAGCUGUGAAAGCCCCGGGCUCAACCUGGGAAUUGCGGUUGAAACUGGCGAACUAGAAUCUGGCAGAGGGGGUGGAAUUCCACGUGUAGCAGUGAAAUGCGUAGAGAUGUGGAGGAACACCGAUGGCGAAGGCAGCCCCCUGGGCUGAGAUUGACGCUCAGGCACGAAAGCGUGGGGAGCAAACAGG
rnacentral:rRNA from 1 species